rnacentral:rRNA from 1 species
GACGAACGCUGGCGGCGUGCCUAAUACAUGCAAGUAGAACGCUGAAGGAGGAGCUUGCUUCUCUGGAUGAGUUGCGAACGGGUGAGUAACGCGUAGGUAACCUGCCUGGUAGCGGGGGAUAACUAUUGGAAACGAUAGCUAAUACCGCAUAAGAGUAGAUGUUGCAUGACAUUUGCUUAAAAGGUGCAAUUGCAUCACUACCAGAUGGACCUGCGUUGUAUUAGCUAGUUGGUGGGGUAACGGCUCACCACGGUGACGAUACAUAGCCGACCUGAGAGGGUGAGCUGCCACACUGGGACUGAGACACGGCCCAGACUCCUACGGGAGGCAGCAGUAGGGAAACUUCGGCAAUGGACGGAAGUCUGACCGAGCAACGCCGCGUGAGUGAAGAAGGUGUUCGGAUCGUAAAGCUCUGUUGUAAGAGAAGAACGAGUGUGAGAGUGGAAAGUUCACACUGUGACGGUAUCUUACCAGAAAGGGACGGCUAACUACGUG